GGCCUCAGUUUCCCGUCUUUGAGGGGAUGCAGCCACUCUUGAAGUUCCCUCCCUGCCUGACAUUGCACAGCCGGCCGCUGCUGCGGGCAGGCUUCUUUGUUUCCACGCUCAGCUGCUCUGGCCGGGCUUCCCCGGGCUCUGCCCUGCUGUGUUUUUGCUGCUGGACCUACUACAGACGCGCUCCUGGCAGGGCAGCCCCGGAGCACAGCCGAAGCUUCCUCUUUUGCUCAGUUCCUGGCCGCUUCAGUAUGAACAGAAAAGGCACCAGGGGUUUCCGUGCUCAUUUCCCUCCAGUCGGAGCCGACAGCUUUGGAGGUAAUGCUCCGCAGUCCCAUGCCAGCAACUGACCGUCCAGGGACAGGAGAUGGAGACAUUCAACUGCAAAAGCCACAGGGGAACCCACACUCGGAUUCUCUCACCGCGUUCGGCAGCACGCAACCUCCUCCAGGACCUACCGAGGGCUCCGGCCACCUCUGAGCACAGGAGAGAAGGUGUGCGGGUCAAGGAUGUGUAAGCAGCCGUGGGCCGGCCAUCCCGACACAGGCGUGGAAGGCACCCCCCCCCCCCCCCCCCCCCCCCAGGCAGGCUUCCUUCCCCAGCAUGCUGCUCUCAUUAGCCGCGGGGGGAGGGAAUGUGUGCGGCGCUGUCUGCAGGGAGUCCUGUGAGCCAGGGAGCUCUAUCCUUCAGCCCAGUCCUCCUCCUCUCCCCGUGCUUCUCUCGCUCUCCCUGGGUCUAGGACAAUCCUCAGGCCAGGCCAGUUCCAGUCAUAACUGGAUCUUUCCACUACUUAGUAGCACACGGGAGGAUUUGUUGAAGUGGUUUUCUGUUUUGUUUUGUUUUGCUACUAUUAAGCCAGAUUGCUUCAUAAUCCUGUAAGUGUUUUUUAGCCAACUUUUAUUUACAUAUCCGGGCCAGCAAGCACGUGAUUCGCCCAAGGAUGUCACGGAGGGAAGGCAGAUGCUAUAUCUGAAAAAAAAAUCUGAUGCUGUUUCACUGAGGACACACCAACAGCUGAGCUGUCACAAGGACAACUGUCUCUGGGGCCAACCCUACACAACACUGUCAGCCUCUGGACACCCUCCCAGACAAGAAGAAGGAGCGGCUGAGAACACUCUGGGAGCCUUGAGUGUAUGUCAGAAGGCUGACCAUCUACCCUGAGACCACCAAGCUGGAAACGCCAUGUGUCUGGGUGCUCCCAUGGACACUCCCACAUACACCCAGCCUUCAAGCCCAUCUUGCAAAAGCUCCAGUCCCGUGAGUGAAGAAACCUCCAGACGGUAGGCUCCUAGUACCAGAGUGCCCGCCAGCUGCUUGCGUCCUCUCACUAGGCCCCAGACAUCUGGAAGCAGAGACGAGCCUUUCUGCGGUGCCCUGUCCAUAUUCCUGACCCCAAGA